rnacentral:rRNA from 1 species
GACGAACGCUGGCGGUGUGCUUAACACAUGCAAGUCGAACGAUGACGUCCAGGUUGCUGGGUGGCUUAUUGGCGACCCGUUAAGUACCACCUUUGUAACCUGCCCUACCCCCUGGGAUAAUUCCUGGAAACCGAUGCUACUACUGGAAAUGAAUGCAUCCUGCAAAGGUGGUCGCGCAACGAUUUAUCGGUGUUGGAUGGACUCGCGUCCUCUCGGCUUGUUGGUGUGGUAAUGACGUACAAAGGCGACGCCGGGUUGCCGGGCUGAGAGGGUGACCGGCCACACUGGGGCAGAGACACGGGCCAGACUCCUACGGGAGGGAGCAGUGUGGAAUAUUGCACGAUGGGCGGAAACCUGAGGCAGCGACGCCGCGUGCGGGAUAACGGGCUUCGGGUAUUAAACCGCUUUCAGCUCUGGGGAAGAAUUUGUGACGGUAGGAGCAGAAGAAGCAGCGGCUAACUACGUG